ACCAUCAUAAACCAAUCACAAAAUGUUACGUACCCGAGAAUGGAACGUAUCUAGAGCGCCUUCCUCAUACACUCUCACAAAGAAUUAAUAAUGGACAAAUAGAUAAAUAAACCUCUUUUAUUGAAUGGAAAUAUUGUAUCAAAGAAAAUAACCAAUAACUGGGAGCAUAACCUCCGUCAGUCACCUGAGAGCAUAACCUCUCUAACAAAACUCACAAUUCAAAAGCAUA
rnacentral:lncRNA from 1 species